rnacentral:rRNA from 1 species
AGAAUCAACGCUGGCGGCGUGCCUCAGACAUGCAAGUCGAACGCGAAAGUCCCCUUCGGGGGCGAGUAGAGUGGCGCACGGGUGAGUAACACGUAGGUAAUCUACCUUCGGAUGGGGAAUAACAACCGGAAACGGUUGCUAAUACCGCAUAAUGCAGCGGCACCUAAUGGUGACAGUUGUUAAAGCGGGGGAUCGAAAGACCUCGCGUCUGAAGAGGAGCCUGCGGCGGAUUAGCUAGUUGGUAAGGUAACGGCUUACCAAGGCUACGAUCCGUA